ACGCGAAGAGGUCUUCGGAUCUCUCUAGAGUGGCGCACGGGUGAGUAACGCGUAGAUAAUCUACCCCCAUAUUUGGGAUAACAGCUCGAAAGGGCUGCUAAUACCGGAUACACUUAUUUGAACGCGAGUUUGAGUGAGGAAAGGUGACCUCUCCAUGGAAGUUACUGUAUAGGGAUGAGUCUGCGUACCAUUAGCUAGUAGGUAGGGUAAAGGCCUACCUAGGCGACGAUGGUUAGCGGGUCUGAGAGGAUGAUCCGCCACACUGGAACUGGAACACGGACCAGACUCCUACGGGAGGCAGCAGUGAGGAAUAUUGCGCAAUGGGGGAAACCCUGACGCAGCGACGCCGCGUGGGUGAUGAAGGCCUUCGGGUUGUAAAGCCCUGUCAGGUGGGAAGAAGUGCAUAAUGGCUAAUAUCCAUUAUGUUUGACGGUACCACCAAAGGAAGCACCGGCUAACUCCGUGCCAGCAGCCGCGGUAAUACGGAGGGUGCAAGCGUUGUUCGGAUUUACUGGGCGUAAAGGGCGCGUAGGCGGUUGUAUAAGCCAUAUGUGAAAGCCCACGGCUUAACCGUGGAAGUGCAUGUGGAACUGUACGACUUGAGUAUGGGAGAGGAAAGUGGAAUUCCCGGUGUAGAGGUGAAAUUCGUAGAUAUCGGGAGGAAUACCGGUGGCGAACGCGACUUUCUGGACCAAUACUGACGCUGAGCGCGAAAGCGUGGGUAGCAAACAGGAUUAGAUACCCUGGUAGUCCACAGCUGUAAACGAUGAUAACUAGGUAUAGGGGGUGUUGACCCCUUCUGUGCCGUAGCUAACGCAUUAAAGUUAUCCGCCUGG
rnacentral:rRNA from 1 species